rnacentral:rRNA from 1 species
GACGUAGGGCGCGAGCGUUGUCCGGAUUUAUUGGGCGUAAAGAGCUCGUAGGCGGCUCGUUGCGUCGGCUGUGAAAACCCGCAGCUCAACUGUGGGCUUGCAGCUGAUACGGGCGGGCUGGGAUUCGGUAGGGGAGACUGGAAUUCCUGGUGUAGCGGUGAAAUGCGUAGAUAUCGAGAGGAACACCUGCGGCGAAGGCGGGUUGCUGGGCUGAUACUGACGCUGAGGCGCGAAAGCCAGGGGAGCGAACGGG